AGUGAACGCUGGCGGUAGGCCUAACACAUGCAAGUCGAACGGCAGCACAGUAAGAGCUUGCUCUUACGGGUGGCGAGUGGCGGACGGGUGAGGAAUACAUCGGAAUCUACUUUUUCGUGGGGGAUAACGUAGGGAAACUUACGCUAAUACCGCAUACGACCUACGGGUGAAAGCAGGGGAUCUUCGGACCUUGCGCGAUUGAAUGAGCCGAUGUCGGAUUAGCUAGUUGGCGGGGUAAAGGCCCACCAAGGCGACGAUCCGUAGCUGGUCUGAGAGGAUGAUCAGCCACACUGGGACUGAGACACGGUCCAGACUCCUACGGGAGGAAGCAGUGGGGAAUAUUGGACAAUGGGCGCAAGCCUGAUCCAGCCAUACCGCGUGGGUGAAGAAGGCCUUCGGGUUGUAAAGCCCUUUUGUUGGGAAAGAAAAGCAGCAGGUUAAUACCCCGCUGUUCUGACGGUACCCAAAGAAUAAGCACCGGCUAACUUCGUG
rnacentral:rRNA from 1 species